UACGAAGGGGGCUAGCGUUGCUCGGAAUCACUGGGCGUAAAGGGUGCGUAGGCGGGUUUUUAAGUCAGGGGUGAAAUCCUGGAGCUCAACUCCAGAACUGCCUUUGAUACUGAAGAUCUUGAGUCCGGGAGAGGUGAGUGGAACUGCGAGUGUAGAGGUGAAAUUCGUAGAUAUUCGCAAGAACACCAGUGGCGAAGGCGGCUCACUGGCCCGGUACUGACGCUGAAGCGCGAAAGCGUGGGGAGCAAACGGG
rnacentral:rRNA from 1 species